rnacentral:tRNA from 1 species
GCAGUCGUGGCCGAGUGGUUAAGGCGAUGAACUAGAAUUCCAUUGGGGUCUCCCCGCACAGGUUCGAAUCCUGUCGACUGCG